AGGCCAAUUAUUUUAAAAAUACAAACAAAAAGAAUAGUAGAUUAUAAGAAACUAAAAAUGAAACAUGGAGAUUGCAACAAAAAUAUUUUUUAUUGAUAAAAUAAAGAAGCAUACAAUGGAAAAAAAAUGAAAGAUCGAUACAAGAACAAUGAAAUUAAGUUGAUCUUCACAUUACGCCUAACAUAUAUCAUAUUUUUAGGA
rnacentral:lncRNA from 1 species